GCUUUGGCUCCUGUGUGACUGCGGCCUCCCCUUCAUGUCCGCCCUCGAGAAGAGCAUGCACCUCGGCCGCCUGCCCUCUCGCCCCCCUCUACCCGGCAACGGAGGCAAUCAGAGCGGAGCCAAGAUGCGAAUGGGCCCUGGAAGAAAACGGGAUUUUUCCCCUGUUUCUUGGAGUCAGUACUUUGAGUCCAUGGAAGAUGUAGAAGUAGAGAAUGAAACUGGCAAGGAUUCUUUUCGAGUUUAUAAGAGUGGUUCAGAGGGUCCAGUCCUACUCCUUUUGCAUGGAGGAGGCCAUUCCGCCCUUUCCUGGGCUGUGUUCACGGCAGCGAUCAUUAGCAGGGUUCAAUGUAGGAUUGUAGCUUUGGAUCUGCGAGGUCAUGGUGAAACAAAAGUCAAGAAUUCUGAAGAUCUGUCUGCAGAAACAAUGGCAAAAGAUGUUGGCAAUGUAAUUGAAGCCAUGUAUGGGGACCUCCCUCCUCCGAUUAUGCUGAUUGGACAUAGCAUGGGUGGAGCUAUUGCAGUCCACACAGCAUCAUCCAACCUGGUGCCAAGCCUCCUGGGUCUAUGCGUGAUUGAUGUUGUGGAAGGUACAGCCAUGGAUGCUCUUAAUAGCAUGCAGAAUUUCUUACGUGGUCGUCCUAAAACCUUCAAGUCUCUGGAGAAUGCCAUUGAAUGGAGUGUGAAGAGUGGCCAGAUUAGAAAUCUGGAGUCUGCCCGAGUCUCCAUGGUUGGCCAAGUCAAAGAGUGUGAAGGAAUUACAAGUCCAGAAGGCUCAAAAUCUGUAGUGGAAGGAAUCAUAGAGGAAGACGAAGAUGAUGAAGAAGGAAGUGAAUCAGUUAACAAGAGGAAGAAGGAAGAUGACAUGGAGACCAAGAAAGACCAUCCAUACACUUGGAGGAUUGAACUGGCAAAAACUGAAAAAUACUGGGAUGGCUGGUUCCGAGGCUUAUCCAAUCUCUUUCUUAGUUGUCCUAUUCCUAAAUUGCUGCUCUUGGCUGGUGUUGAUAGAUUGGAUAAAGAUCUGACUAUUGGCCAAAUGCAAGGGAAGUUCCAGAUGCAGGUCCUACCUCAGUGUGGCCAUGCAGUCCAUGAGGAUGCCCCAGACAAGGAAAAUCUCUGUAUUCUAGGUAGCUGAAGCUGUUGCCACUUUCCUGAUCCGGAACAGGUUUGCAGAGUCCGUCGGUGGAUUCCAGUGUGUGUUUCCUGGCUGUUAGUGACCUGCUAUCUGUCCUUCCCUUAACAUUGAGCUCUGUUGUAAAUACAUCGCACCAGAGGCCACUGUGAUGCCGCUGUCUCCUCCUCACCAUCCUGCCCGACCAUGUGACACCGGCUUCCUAUAGAUGGGCAUCUCCAGAUAUACAGACCCUUUUGUGUAUUUCUGUUGAAAGCAUUGUUUUUCAGGGCCUUUGACCAACAUGAACCUCCCUAGUCAAAGGUUCCCAGAUCAUACCCCUUCCCUGUUCAGGGUUUUCCUGUUCUCUCUGCCUUACCUAGGGUAAAGCCUUUAUCAGAACUGCCACGUGGGCCCCUAUUUCUGGCAUUAGGCAAUGCACCUGGUUCAAAUGUCUCCCCAGGCUCAGAGACCUCUACUCCUUGAUAUUGUUCUUGGCAUAGCUCUGCCCUACUUCACGGUUUGGGCCAUGCAUAGGGUGGUCCUUAUUUUUCCCUUCCAAAUAAAUCACCAGUCAGGUACCUUUUUAUCCCAGUCUUACUCUUCCAGGCUUGGAAGACUCAUAGAGUCCAGGAUCCAAUCCUUAAGCAUAAGGAGGUGUAGUGGAUAGCAUCACAAGAAACCAUCCUGAAAAUCAGGUCCAGCCAGUCCAAGCACAUGGCCUCCUAUCUGGGGAGAGCCCACUGUCCCACUCCCACAUGUCUGGACACCUGUCCUGGGCUGAGGCCAGGCUGCUCCAGGGACCUCUUGAGCCCUCACCUGUCACAGAGCAACCCAGGUUAAGUACAGCCCAUGCACAAAGCCACAGCGCUAAAGCCUGUGCAGUGGUUUUUAAGGGUCAAAUUUAACCAUUUUCAUAAGUGGUUCCUGGAGGUGUGCAGAGUGCCCGCUUGCUUCUUCUAGACCCACACAGCUUAUCUUCAGCAUUUGUGGUUCCCAGGUCACUGUUCAUAGAAUUAGCUUAGCAUCCUCAAUCUUUGCCUCUUCCAGUUGCCUCAUCACAGCACUACGGCCUCCCCCUGCUGCCCCAGCAUACCUUUUCCAAGGGCAGGGAGGGGCAGUCUCCUGCAGCCCACCUUUUCUGUGACUGUCGUAGGUGAUGCCUAGCCUCCUCCACUUUUCACCCAACAACUUCCUCUCCCUUAUCCUGCUGCACGGUCUGGAGUCUGGGACCUACUUUGUUUCUUUGUUAUUUAUGAUCUUGUUAAAAUAAAUAUCUCCCAGCCUUUAUUGA